UACAGAGGGGGCAAGCGUUAUUCGGAAUUAUUGGGCGUAAAGGGCGCGUAGGCGGCUUUGCAAGUGACGGGUGAAAUCCCUCGGCUUAACCGAGGAACUGCCUGUCAAACUGCAUGGCUUGAGACCGGGAGAGGUGAGUGGAAUUCCCAGUGUAGCGGUGAAAUGCGUGGAUAUUGGGAGGAACACCAGUGGCGAAGGCGGCUCCCUGGGCCGUACCGUGACGCUGAGCGCGAAGGCUAGGGGAGCGAGCGGG
rnacentral:rRNA from 1 species